rnacentral:rRNA from 1 species
CAGCAGCCGCGGUAACUUCAGCUCCAAUAGCGUAUAUUAACAUUGUUGCAUUUAAAAAGCUCGUAGUUGAAUUAUUUUUNNNAUUUUAUNUNNGUANUAUUAUUUUNUAAUAAAAUUAUUUAAAUUUAUUUUUUAUAAUUUUAUUAAUAUUAAACGGUAAUAUUAUUUAUAAUUUANAAAAAAAUUUUAUGUUAUAUUAUUUAGNAAUAGAUAAUAUAAUNUAAAUAUUACUGUGAAAAAAUUAGAGUGUUUAANGCAUGUAUAUAAAAUUAAAAAAUAUAUUUUCUGAAUAUAUUUUUUUAGCUUGAAUAUAUUAGCAUGGAAUAAUAAUAUUAUAAUAUUUUUAUAUUAUUUUGUUGGUUAAAUAUAAAAAUAUAUGAUUAAUAGGGACAAUUGGGGGUAUUUAUAUUUCAUAGUCAGAGGUGAAAUUCUGGGAUUUAUGAAAGAUAAACAAAUGCGAAAGCAUUUACCAAAAAUGUUUUCAUUAAUCAAGAACGAAAGUUAGGGGAUCAAAGAGGCUUAGAUACCCCUCGUAG